rnacentral:rRNA from 1 species
GUGGGGAAUCUUGCGCAAUGGGCGAAAGCCUGACGCAGCCAUGCCGCGUGAAUGAUGAAGGUCUUAGGAUUGUAAAAUUCUUUCACCGGGGACGAUAAUGACGGUACCCGGAGAAGAAGCUCCGGCUAACUUCGUGCCAGCAGCCGCGGUAAUACGAAGGGGGCUAGCGUUGCUCGGAAUUACUGGGCGUAAAGGGCGCGUAGGCGGACAGCUUAGUCAGAGGUGAAAGCCCAGGGCUCAACCUUGGAAUUGCCUUUGAUACUGACUGUCUUGAGUUUGGGAGAGGUGAGUGGAACUCCGAGUGUAGAGGUGAAAUUCGUAGAUAUUCGGAAGAACACCAGUGGCGAAGGCGACUCACUGGCCCAAUACUGACGCUGAGGCGCGAAAGCGUGGGGAGCAAACAGGAUUAGAUACCCUAGUAGUCC